UGGUGGUUGGCUCAAUUGGAAAGAGCGCUCGGUCGCAACCCGAGAAGUCGCGGGUUCGAGUCCCGCAUCAUUCGCAA